rnacentral:tRNA from 2 species
CGGGGAGUAGCGCAGUUUGGCUAGCGCGUUUGAAUGGGGUUCAAAAGGUCGUGGGUUCGAGUCCCACCUCCCCGACCA